rnacentral:rRNA from 1 species
UACGUAGGUCCCGAGCGUUGUCCGGAUUUACUGGGUGUAAAGGGAGCGUAGACGGCAAUGCAAGUCUGGAGUGAAAGGCGGGGGCCCAACCCCCGGACUGCUCUGGAAACUGUAUAGCUGGAGUGCAGGAGAGGUAAGUGGAAUUCCUAGUGUAGCGGUGAAAUGCGUAGAUAUUAGGAGGAACACCAGUGGCGAAGGCGGCUUACUGGACUGUAACUGACGUUGAGGCUCGAAAGCGUGGGGAGCAAACAGG